rnacentral:rRNA from 1 species
AUGAACGCUGGCGGCGUGCCUAAUACAUGCAAGUCGAGCGAACAGACGAGGAGCUUGCUCCUCUGACGUUAGCGGCGGACGGGUGAGUAACACGUGGAUAACCUACCUAUAAGACUGGGAUAACUUCGGGAAACCGGAGAUAAUACCGGCUACUAUAUUGAACCGCAUGGUUCCAUAGUGAAAGACGGUUUUGCUGUCACUUAUAGAUGGAUCCGCGCCGCAUUAGCUAGUUGGUAAGGUAACGGCUUACCAAGGCAACGAUGCGUAGCCGACCUGAGAGGGUGAUCGGCCACACUGGAACUGAGACACGGUCCAGACUCCUACGGGAGGCAGCAGUAGGGAAUCUUCCGCAAUGGGCGAAAGCCUGACGGAGCAACGCCGCGUGAGUGAUGAAGGUCUUCGGAUCGUAAAACUCUGUUAUUAGGGAAGAACAAAUGUGUAAGUAACUAUGCACGUCUUGACGGUACCUAAUCAGAAAGCCACGGCUAACUACGUG